rnacentral:rRNA from 1 species
AUUGAACGCUGGCGGCAGGCCUAACACAUGCAAGUCGAGCGAGCGGCGGACGGGUGAGUAAUGUCUGGGAAACUGCCUGAUGGAGGGGGAUAACUACUGGAAACGGUAGCUAAUACCGCAUACCGUCAGAUGUGCCCAGGUGGGUUGGCUAGUAGGUGGGGUAACGGCUCACCUAGGCGACGAUCCCUAGCUGGGCUGAGAGGAUGACCAGCCAAACUGGAACGGAGACACGGGCCAGACGCCUACGGGGGGAAGCGGGGGGGAAUAUUGCACAAUGGGCGAAAGCCGGAUGCAGCCAUGCCGCGGGGGUGAAGAAGGCCUUCGGGUUGUAAAGCACUUUCAGCGGGGAGGCGGUACCCGCAGAAGAAGCACCGGCUAACUCCGUGCCAGUCGCCGCGGUAAUUC